AGAUAGCCCUUAAUUAUAUCCUAUUCUUCGUUAGAAUAAUCCCCGAAAGUAACAUAUGUAUUUUUCUGUUCUUGAACGUGUAAAUAAAUCUUGUAAACAAACAGGUGAGAGAGAUACUUCUUGGCAGCAGUGUAGCAGAAGACUGUAGACUGUAUUUGUCUUGUCCUUGCCCUCGAGAAACAGACCCACAAUUAAAAUGUACUUACCAUCGCCAAGGCCAGAAAUGUCAUCCAUCAUUGUUAGUAAUCACAACAAUACAUAUGCCUAGAUCAGUAGAUGAAAAAAUUUAGAAAUGGCACAGAGUGACAUUAACAUAGACUGGCAGACUAAACUUAGAUAUAUCAGCCAGAGGGCAGGUCACGUUUUGGAAUCGGGGCAGUGGACUGAUUGUACCUUUAUUUUUGGGCAAUAAAAUAAUCAA